rnacentral:rRNA from 1 species
CCUACGGGAGGCAGCAGUGGGGAAUAUUGCACAAUGGGGGAAACCCUGAUGCAGCAACGCCGCGUGAAGGAAGAAGGGUUUCGGCUCGUAAACUUCUAUUGAUAGGGACGAAAGAGAUGACGGUACCUAAAUAAGAAGCACCGGCUAACUACGUGCCAGCAGCAGCGGUAAUACGGAGGGGGCAAGCGUUAUCCGGAAUUACUGGGUGUAAAGGGAGCGUAGGCGGCAAGGUAAGUAAGAUGUGAAAGCCCGCAGCUUAACUGCGAGGAUUGCAUUUUAUACUAUCUGGCUUGAGUACAGGGGAGGUAGGCGGAAUGCCUGGUGUAGCGGUGAAAUGCGUAGAUAUUAUGAAGAACACCGGUGGCGAAGGCGGCUUACUGAACUGUAACUGACGCUGAGGCACGAAAGCGUGGGGAGCGAACAGGAUUAGAUACCCUAGUAGUC